rnacentral:lncRNA from 1 species
GAAAAAGAAAGAGUUUUGCUCUUGUUGCCCAGGCUGGAGUGCAAUGGCACGAUCUUGGCUCACCGCAACCUCCGCCUCCCGGGUUGAAGCAAUUCUCUUGCCUCAGCCUCCCAAGUAGCUGGGAUUACAGGCAUGCACCACCACACCCAGCUAACUUUUUGUAUUUAGUAGAGACAGGGUUUCACCAUGUUGGUCAGGCUGGUCUCAAACUCCUGACUUCAGGUGAUCCACCUGCCUUGGCCUCCCAAAGUGCUGGGAUUACAGGCGUGAGCCACCACGCUUGACGGGUACUUAGUUUCACAGACAUUAGGGAAAUAUGGUAGCAGAGGAGGGAGGUCUUCCAAAAAUACUUGAAAAAGACAUAUGUACAAUAGUGAGCAGUGGCAUUUAUAAGAAAGAUGGUCUAUAAACAUUACUAUUGCUCUGGCUUUACCUUUAGGUUGGUGUGAUCCUGAAGGAAGGAAGUGCGUGUGUAGGAAAAGGAGUUCCAGGGGGGUUAUGUUAAUUUACAAUCAUAUCAAAAUAACAUGACUCUUCCUCCUCUCCCUGUAGCUGUAUCUAGGAAGUAGGAGUUUAACAUUUCCCCAUUCAACCUCUUACCAGAAAACUACUCCUAAAUAAACAUCACUAAUUUUGCUGCCACAUCACUAAGUCUUGACAGAAUUACCCAAAUCAUAUGUGCUAGGAAAAUCAAUUGUCAACAGAUUUUGAGCGUCCAUGCCGUUCUAGGCAUCAUAUUUGUAUAUGAAGAGAAAAGAAAUAUAUUAGCUCCCAAAGGGAUUUCUAUCUUUAUACCCACAGAGAAAAUAGGGAUGGGUAGACUUGGACUUGGUGUAAAAAAUGUACAGGUAAGUAAUACCCAAAGUCAAAAGGAAUUCAACAAUUUUGCUAAUAUCAAACAGUACACAGUUGGCAAAUUUGGGUACGUGUGUACACAGAUCGUACAAAGUAUUUUAAGCAACAUACUAAAAUUUUACUUCCAAGUUGUCGUCUGCAGGGUUUUUCCAUUUCUUCUUAUUUAUCUACUUUUUUGUUAUUGUUGUUUGUUUUUUUGAGACAGAGUCUUGCUCUGUCGCCCAGGCUGGAGUACAGUGGCGCGAUCUUGACUCACAGCAACCUCCGCCUCCCAGGUUCAAGCAAUUCUCAUGUCUCGCAUCCCAAGUAGCUGGGAUUACAGGCAUGCACCACCAUGCCCAGCUAAUUUUUGUAUUUUCAGUAGAGACGGGGUUUCACCAUGUUGGCCAGGCUGGUCUUGAACUCCUGACCUCAAAUGAUCCACCUGCCUCAGUGUCCCCAAGUGCUGGGAUUACGGGUGUGAGCCACCGUGCCCAGCCUAUCCACUAUUAUUUACAUAGCUACUCUACACAGGAUGGUGG